GCCGCGGUAGCUCAGCCUGGCUAGAGCGUUGCCCUGGUAUUUGAUUACCGGGGAGGCAAAGGUCCCGGGUUCAAAUCCCGGCCGCGGCU
rnacentral:tRNA from 1 species